rnacentral:tRNA from 1 species
GUAUUUUAUUGAAAAAUUCUUUUCAAAAACUUGUGGAUCUAGACCCUUCUUACCCAAUUUCCAGAUUAAUUUUAGUUUUUUUAU